rnacentral:lncRNA from 1 species
GUUCUCACGAGAUCUGACGGCUUAAAAGUGUGGCACUUCCUACCUCACUCUCUCUCUCUCUCCUGCUGCAUUGUGAAGAAACUGCUUGCUUCCCUCUCACCCUCUGCAGUUUCCUGAGGCCUCCCCAGCCAUGCGGAACGAACCUUCCACUGGCCACUCAGCGAAAGGCAGCUGAUUCAGCACCUGGAGAAGACCGGCAACAGGGCUGAGUUUCCUUGCACUGCAGAGGAGGGGAGAGGCAAGGAGUGGACAUGAGCACGGAGGAUCCAGGGCACUCCCUUGAUGGUGAUGCCCUCGAAGGGCUGCCCCGUGCCCAUUGUACAGAAUGUGGAUUCCACCCCACGCCAUGAGAGCUCUCGCGCAGGCCCAGACCACUUUAUAAGCCAUAUUUCCCACCAAUUCCUGUUUCUGGAUCUGUCAGGUUAUUUCAUAUUUCUAGGCCCUUAGCUUUGCUUCCUCUUCCCUGAACGCCCUUUGCCCACAUCAUCCCAGCUCUCCUUCUCCUCCUGCCUUCUGUCUUCUCUUCCUCUCAUUUCUUGUCACCCAGGCUGGAGUCCAGUGGCGUGAUCACGGCUCACUACAGCCUUGAACUCCCGGGCUCAGGUGAUCCUCCCACCUGAGCCUCCCGAGUAGCUGGGACUACAGAUGCACACCACCAUGCCAGCUAAUUUUUAAAACUGUUUUUAGGGAUGGGGUCAUCUUCCUGUGUUGCCCAGGCUUGUCUCAAACUCCUGGGCUCAAGUGAUCCUCUCACCUCAGCCUUCCAAAGUGCUGGGAUUACAGGCAUGAGCCACAACAUCCAGCCCCUUUUCUCUUUUCUUACCCUUCUUUCCUAUUUUCUUUUCCAUUUUCUUUCCCUCCCUUCUUCUUUCUUUCCUAACUAUUAAGGAGUAGAUUGAAUUCAAGGUCUUUAUGUGUGUCAGUUUUUGUUUUCCAACAAAUAUUUCUUAAAAACCAACCAUUGAAACGUAAUGGUAACCACUGGCCCCUGUCUCCACCUCCACACCUAAGAAGCCCCAAAUCCAGAUGUGUCCAUUAAAAUCAGUCCAGAUCUUCUUUACCAAGCCACUAGAUGUCAUAUUAAUUUCACAGCAGAAUAGGGAAGCCCAUGCCGGAGCUGAAAACCUGCAACAACAAAAAAGCAUCUAAAUACUGCAAAAAAAAAAAAAAAAAAGAGGGAGAGAGGCAUCUUAAUAUUUGUCCUUAACACAUCAUACCAGACUUCUGCUUCCAGGAAUGACUGGAUGUGGUUUUUCUAGGUGGACAUAAUACAAAAUGCAGCUACCUGAAAACAAUGGAAAGUGGACAGAGCAGGCAGAUUCUGGUGGGAAGUCCACGCAAUAAAGAAAAGAUGUUACAGGAAGUGAGCGCCCAUUUUUGCUGUUUUUAGCUUGGAGGCAGGUGCAGCCAUUGUGCAAACCAGGUGUGGUGCUGGUGGAAAAACAGCCAUCUUUUUGGACUAUGAAAAUGGAAGGUUGAGUUCAGGGCAACUAUAACUGCCAAAAGAGAGAAGAAAGAGUUCUGGAAGAGAAAGAGCCAAAGAGGGAAUUCCCAAAUUCUUUCUGCUCCUGUCUGUGGCUGAUCCCAAACCACGGACACACACAGCAAAAACAAAAGCAUCUCAGCCAGAGACAAAAGAGUCUAAAAGAGACUGGACCUGCCACCUGAGAAACAGAGUUUGAAGUUAGAGUUCAAUCACAAAAAAAUGCCUGCUAAAACAAAAUAAACAAAACCUAUUAGAGAAAAGGUGUUCUCUUAUCAGAAUGUAGGGCCUCCACAACUUAACGUUUAUAAUGUGUACAAUCCAAACUUAUUCGACAUAUGAAGAACUGGAAAAGUGGGACCCAUUCUCAAGGGAAAAGAUAGCGGAGAUUCACUCCAAGAUGACCCAGAUGUUGGAAUUAUCCACCAAGGAUUUUAAAGCUACUAUUAUAACUGUUCUCAUGCUAUAAAAUCCACUAUUUAGAUCAUACUUAAUUGUGAAGAAAUGAAUUCUUUCCUCCUAAGAUUAGAAACAAGGACGGCAUGAAUACCCACUUUCACUACUAACACUGAAUUUUGUACGAAGGUCCCAGUCAGUUCAAUAUUUUUAAAAAGAUUUUAAAAAAAGCAAUAAAAGGCAUACAUAUUGGAAAGGGAAAAGUAAACUGUCUAAAUUUGCAGAUGACAAGGUCAUAUAAUGGUUUAAAAAAAGCUACUAGAACAAUAUGUGAGUUUACCAAGGUUAAAGGAUACAAGGUCAAUAUGCCAAAGUCAAGUGAAUUUCUAUAUAUUUGCAAUGAACAAUUCAAAAUGGAGUUUUAAAACAUUUUUAUUUAUGAUAGUCUCCAAAAUACUUUUUAAGAAAGAAAAUGACAGAAGCAACCCAAGUGUCUACUGAUGGAUAAUUAAAUUAUAGUAUAUAAAUACAAUGGGGCCGGGUGCAGUGGUUCAUGCCUGUAAACCCAGCACUUUGGGAGGCUGAGGUGGGAGGAUCACUCGAGCCCAGGAGUUCAAGACCAGCCUGGGCAACAUGGUGAAACCCCAUCUCUAGAAAAAGUACAACAAUUAGCUGAGCAUGGUGGUGCACACCUAUGGUCCUAGCUACUAGGAGGCUGAGGUGGGAGAUCACCGGAGCACAGGAGGUUGAGGCUGCAGUGAGCUGUGAUUGUGCCACUGCACUCCAGCCUGGGUGACAGAGCAAGACCCUGUCUCAAACACAUAUAUACAUACAUAUGUGGAAUACAAUGGAAUAUUUACUUAAAAAAGAAAGAAAAUUCCGACAACAUGGAUGGACCUUGAAGAUAUUAUGUUGAGUGAACUAGUCACAAAAGGACAAAUACUGCAUAAUUGUACUUUUAUGAGGCACUUAGAGUAAUCAAACUCAGAGACAGAAAGUAGAAUGCUGGUUGCCAGGGGCUGGUAGAAUGGAAAGUUAUUGUUUAAUGUUUAUAAAGUUUUAGUUUUGCAAGAUAAAAAGAUUUCUGUGGAUGGAUGGUGGUGAUGGUUGCACAAUGUGAAUGUACUUAAUGCCACUUAAAAAUGGUCAAGAUGGUAAAUUUUAUGUUAUGUGUAUUGUACCACAAUUUUCUUUACAAGGUCUCAAGUUGGACAUUAAAAUGCCAGGCAAUUAAAAGUAUUUAUGUUUAAAACUUAAUUUAAAAAAUAAUUGACAAGUAUAUUCUAAAAUUUGUUCGAGAAGGCAAAGGACCUAGAAUAGCAAGAAUACUCUUAAGAAAGGAAAACAAGUUUGGAAGGACUUAAACUACCUGAAUUCAAGACUUAUCAUUAAGAUACAGUAAUCACAACAGUGUGUUACUGGCAUAAAGAUAGACCAUAUGAGAUCAAUGGAACAAAAUAAAAGCUUUAAAAUGCACCAAUACUUAUAUGGUCAAUUGAUUUUCAACAAUGGUGCCAAAGUAAUUUAAUGGGGAAAAGAUAGUCUUUUCAAAAAAUGGUGUUAGAACAACUGGAUAUAUAUAUAUAUCCAUUAUAUAUAUACACUCAUUUAUAUAUACAUCAUAUACAUGUAUGUAUCAUAUAUAUGUAUAUAGCCUCAACUCUUAUUUCAUAUCAUAUACAAAUAUUUGAAUUGAUUGUAGACCUAAAUGAAGGAGCUAAAGCUAUUAAACUUUUAGAAGACAGCAUAAAAGAAUUUCCUUCCUUCUGCCUUGCCUUGCCCUGCCCUGCCCUGCCUUGCCCUGCCUUGCCCUGCCCUGCCCUGCCCUGCCCUGCCCUGCCCUGCCUUGCCUUGUUUUGUAACAGAGUCUCACUCUGUUGCCCAGGCUGGAGUGCAGUGGCGUGAUCUCAGCUCACUGCAGACUCAAUCACCUGGGCUUAAGCCAUCCUCUUGCCUCAGCGUCCUGAGUAGUUUGGACUACAGGCAUGCGCCACCACACUUGGCUAAUUUUAGUUUUGUUUUUUUGUUUUUGUUUUUUUGUAGAGACAAGGUUUCAUUAUGUUACCCAGGCUGGUCUCAAACUUCUGGACUCAAGCAAUCCUCCCUCCUCGGCCUGUAAUUAUUUCUUAAACAGGGCACAAAAAGCACAAAUCACAUAAGAAAAAAAGAUAAAACAGACUUCAUCAAGAUUUAAAGCUUUUCCUCCUCAGAUAACGAGUUGAGAAAACAAAGACAAGCCACAGAUUGGGAGAAAACAUUGGCAAAACAGCUAUUAAAAAAGCCUUCUAUCCAGAUUAUAUAAAGAACCCUUAAAACUCAGUAAUAAAAAGACAUACAUAGUAAGUAAUGGGCAAAUGAUUUGAACAAUCACUUUAUAAAAGAAGAUAAAUGAAUAGCCAACAAACACAUAAAAAGAUGCUGAACAUCACAAGUCAUUCAAGGAAGUGCAAAUUAAAAUAAUAAUAAAAUACUAUUAAAUGUCCACUAGAGUGGCCAAAUUUAAAAAAAAUGAAAAUCACCAGGUAUUGUGGCUCACACCUGUAAUCCCAGCACUUUGGGAGGCUGAGAUGGGCCAAUCACUUGAGCCCAGGAGUUCAAGACUGGCCUGGGCAACAUGGCAAAACCCUGUCUUUACACAAAAUACAAAAAUUAGCCUGGAGCAUAUCUAUAGUUCCAGCUACUCAGGGGGCUGAGGUGGGAGGAUCGCUUGAACCCUGGGAGGCCAGUCUGCAGUGAGUUUAGAUCAUGCCACUGUACUCCAGCCUGGGUGACAGAGCAAGACACUGUCUCAAAAAAAAACAAAAAACAAAAAAAAACCCCAAAAAAUAAAAAUGUGAGGAACUCUCACACAUUUACACAUUGCUGAAGGCAAUGCAAAGUGGUACAGUCAGGCCGGAAAACAGAGUGACAAGGUCCUAUAAAGGAGUGGUCCCAACCUUUUUGGCACCAGGGACCAGUUUCAUGGAAGACAAUUUUUCCAUGGACAGUGGGGGAAGGGAAUGGUUUUAGGAUGAUUCAAGCUCAUUAAAUUUAUUGUGUACUUUAUUUCUAUUAUUAUUACAUUGUAAUAUAUAAUGAAAUAAUUAUACAUCUCACCAUAAUGUAGAAUCAGUGGGAGCACUGAGCUUGUUCUCCUGCAACUAGAUGAUCCCAUCUGGGGGUGAUGUGAAACAAUGACAGAUGAUCAGGCAUUAGAUUCUCAUAAGGAACACACAACCUGGAUCCCUCGCAUGUGUAGUUCACAAUAGGGUUCAUGCUCCUAUGAGAAUCUAAUGCCUUUGCUGAUCUGACAGAAGGCAGAGCUCAGGCAGUAAUGCGACUGAUGGCAGGUGGCUGUAAAGAGAGAUGAAGCUUCAUUCCCUUUCCUGCCGCACACCUGCUGUGCAGCCCCAUUCCCAACAGGCCACCGACAGGUACUGGUCCAAUAAAGUGGAAGAUAUCCUUACCAGUAACCCAACAAUCCCUUCUCCUAGAGAAAUGGAAACACAUGUUCUCACAAAGACAAGUAUGCAAAUGCACAUAGCAGCAUUAUUCAUUGUAGCCAAAAUUUGAAAACAACCCAAAUGUCCAUCAGCUGGUGAAUAGAUCCAUUGUGGUACAUCUAUACUGUGGGAUACUACUCAGCAGUAAAAGGGAAUGAACUAUUGAUACACAAAACAUUAUAGAUGAAUUUCAAACACAUUAUGCUAAGUGAAAGGAAUCAAAUACAAAAGACUACAUUCUGUAUGACUAAAUUUAUAUGAAAUUUUAGAAAAGGCAAUAUUACAGGGAAGGGAAGCAGAUCAGCAUAUACCUGAGGCUACUAAGCCAGGUGAAGGGCAGGUUGCAAAGGGGUAUGAGAGGCUUUUAGCAAGUGAUGGAUGUGUUCUGUAUCUUUAUUGUGGUGACAUUUACAUGACUGUAUACAAUUACCCAAAGUCAUUAAAUUAUACAAUUAAAAUAUAUGAAUUGUACUGUAUUGUAAAUUAUACUUCAAUACAGCUGAAGAAAAAGUCAACAACAACCACAAAAUCACAGCCAAAGGGCUCUUCUCUAUGGCUGAAAGAUAUUGGGUCCACAUAUUCCAGAGUCCCUUGUACUCAUAUCAUGGUCUACUAUAUAAAUAAAUCAUAAUUUAUUUUUAAAGUUAAUCAUUGCUGAACAUUUGUAAUGUUUAUAAUUUCUUUCUUUUUUGAGUGGACCAAUGGAGGGGUGUAACGUUCUUCUAUGAGUCCCUGGAGCACUUUUGCAAGUAAUUCUACAUAUAAAAUGUGUUGGGUUAUAGAUUAUAAAUGUACUCAUGUUUCUUUUUUCAUAUGAUUUUAUUCUUUUUUAGAAUUUCAUUUGAAUAGAAUCCUACCUUAUGUAGUCUUUCUUAUUAAUACAUAAUAGUAUAUAUUUGGGGGUUAUAUCUGGUAUACUGAUACUUUCAUGUAAUGGUAAAAUCAGGGUAAUUGGGAUAUCCAUCACCUUGAACAUUUUUCUUUAUGCUGGGAACAUUUGAAUUAUUCUCUUUUAGUUACAUAUUUAUCUUUUAUGCUGGGAACAUCUGAAUUAUUAUCUUCUAGUUAUUGUCAAAUAUGCAACAGAUAUAUUAUUAACUAUAGUCACCCUACUGAUCGAUUGAACAGGUCUUAUUUCUUCUACCUAACUGUAUUUUGGUACCCAUUAAUCAACCUCUCUUUAUAUCCCCCUCCCCUCCACACUUCCUGGCCUCUAGGAACCACCAAUCUACUCUCCAUCUUCAUGAGAUCCACUUUAUUAGCUCCCACAUAUGAGUGAUAACAUGUGGUAUUUGUCUUUCUGUGCCAAACUUGUUUCACUUAACACAAUGACCAUGUUGCUGCAAAUGACAGGAUUUCAUUCUUUUUUAUGGCUGAAUAAUAUUCCAUUGUGUAUAUAUAACACGUUUUCUUUGUCCAAUCAUCCAUUGAUGGAUACUUAGGUUGGUUCCAUACUUUGGCUAUUGUGAGUAGUUCUGCAAUAAACAUGGGAUUGCAGUUAUCUUUUCAAUAUAUUGAUUUACUUUCUUUUGGAUAUAUACCCAGUAGUAGGAUUGCUGGAUCAAAUGGUAGUCCUAUUUUUAGUUUUUUGAGGAACGUCCACACUGCUUUCCAUAGUGGCUGUACUAACUUACGUCCCCAUCAACAGUGUACAAGUGUUCCCUUUUUCCCCACACCCUUGCCAACAUCCAAUAUUCCCUAUUUUUUAAAUAAUAGCCAUCUUAACUAGGGUGAAAUCUCACUGUGGUUUUGAUUUCCAUUUCUCGGAUGAUUGGUGAUGUUGAGCAUUUUUUCAUAUACCUGUAAACCAUUUGUAUGUCUUCAGAAAUGUCUAUUCAGAUCUUUUGUCCAUUUUUAUUGGGUUAUUUUUUUUUGCUAUUGAAUUGUUUGAAUUCCUUAUGUAUUCUAGCUAUUGAUCCCUUGUCAGAUGGAUAGUUUGCAAAUAUUUUCACUUAUUCUGUGGGUUGUAUCUUUAUUGAUUGUUUCCUUUGCUGUGCAGAAGCUUUUUAGUUUGACAUAAUUGUAUUUGUCUAAUUUUUGCUUUUGGUGCCUGUGCUUUUGAGGUCUUACUCAAAAAAUCUUUGCACAGGCCAAUGUCCUACAGCACUUCUCCAGUGUUUUCUUCUAGCAGUUUCACAGUUUCAGGACUUACACUAAGUAUGUAUGUAUGUAUGUAUGUAUGUUUUUAUGUAUGUAUGUAUGUAUUUAUUUAUUUAUUUAUUUUGAGAUGGAGUCUCACUCUGUCGCCCAGGCUGGAGUACAGUGGCACAAUCUCGUCUCACUGCAACCUCUGUCUCCUGGGUUCAAGCGAUUCUCCUGCCUCAGCCUACUGAGUAACUGGUGCACAACCCCACAGCCACUAACUGUUUGUAUUUUAGGAGAGAUGGGGUUUCACCAUGUUGGCCAGGCCGGGCUCGAACUCCUGACCUCAAGUAAUCCACCCGCCUCAGCCUCCCAAAGUGCUGGGAUUAUAGGUGUGAGCCACUGCGCCUGGCCACAUUUAAGUCUAAUCCAUUUUUGGUUUUUUUCAUAUGGUGAGAGAUAGGGGUCUAGUUUUAUUCUUCUGCAUAUGGUUAUCCAGUUUUCCCAGCACUAUUUAUUGAAGAGAUUGUCCUUUCCCCAUUGUAUAUUCUUGUCACCUUGUCAAAAAUGUGUUGGCUGUAAAUGCGUGAAUUGAUUCUAGGUUCUCCAUUCAGUUCCAUUGGUCUAUGUGUCUGUUUGUAUAUGAGUAUCAUGCUAUGUUGGUUACUGUGGCUUUGUAGUAUAUUGUGAAGCCAGAGUGAUGUGAUGCCUCCAGUUUUGUUUUGCUCUGGAUUGCUUUGGUUAUUUGGGUCUUUUGUGGUUCCAUAUACAUUUUAACAUUGUUCUUUUCUAUUUCUGUGAAGAACGUAAUUAGAAAAUUCAUUGUGAAAGGGAUUGCAUUGAAUCUGUAAGUAGCUUUGGGUAGUAUUGACAUUUUAACAAUAUUAUUUCUUUCAAUCCAUGAGCAUGGAAUAUUUUUUCAAUUUUUGUGUGUUCUCUUCAAUUUCUUUCAUCAGUGUUUUAUUAUUUUCCUUAUGGAGAUCCUUCACUUCUUUGGUUUAAUUUAUUUAUAGAUCUUGUAUAUUUUUGGUAGCUAUUGUAAAUGGGAUUGCUUUCUUGAUUUCCUUUUCAGAUUGUUCACUGCCAGCAUAUAUAAAUACUACUAAUUUUUGUGUGCUAAUUUUGUAUCCUGCAACUUUACUAAAUUCAUUUAUCAAUUUUACCCAUUUUUGGUGGAGUCGUCAGGUUUUUCAAAUUAUAAGAUUAUGUCAUUUGCAAACAAAGAUAAUUUGAUAUUUUUCUUUCCAAUUUUUCUCUUUCUUUCUCUUGACUAAUUGCUCUGGCUAGGACUUCCAGUGUUAUGUUGAAUAAAAGUGGCGAAAGUGGGCAUCCUUGUCUUGUUCCAGAUCUUAGAGGAAAGACUUUCGAUUUUUUCCCAUUUGGUAUAAUGCUAUCUGUGGGUUUGUCAUAUACAGCCUUUAUUGUUUUGAGGUAUGUUCCUUCUGCACCCAGUUUGUGGAAAGUUUUUUGUCAUAAAAGGAUAUUGAAUUUUAUCAAAUGCUUUUUCAGCAUCUAUUGAAACGAUCAUACGGAUUUUGACCUUGGUUUUGAUGUGAUGUAUUAUAUUAUUGAUUUGUGUAUGUUGAACCAGCCUUGCAUCGCUGGGAUGAAACCCACUGGAUGAUGGUAAAUUAUCUUUUUAAUGAGCUGUUGAAUUCAGUUUGCUAGUAUUCUGUUAAGGAUUUUUGCAUCUGUGUUCAUCAGGGAUAUUGGCCUGUAUCUUUCUUUUUGUUGUGUCCUUGUCUGGUUUUGGUUAUCAGAGUAAUGCUGGCCUUGUAGAAUUAGUUUGGUCCUCACUCUUCAAUUUUUUUGAAUAGUUGGAACAGAAUUGGUAUUACUUCUUCUUCAUAUAUUUGCUGGAAUUCAACAGUGAAGCCAUCAGAUUCUGGGCUUUUCUUUGGUGGAAAACUUUUUAUCAUGGCUUUGAUCUCAUUACUCAUUAUUGGUUUGUUCAGGUCUUCCAUUUCUUUGUGGUUUAAUCUUGGAAGAUUGCAUGUGUCCAGAAAUUUAUUCUUCUGUUUUCCAAUUUGUUGGUGUAUAGUUGUUCAUAAUAGUCUCUGAUUCUUUGCAUUUCUGUGCUGCCUGUACUUAUGUCUUCAUUUUCAUUUCUAAUUUGAUUUGGGCCUUCUAUAUUUUUUUCUUAGUGUAGCUAAAAGUUUGUCAAUUUAUUUAUCUUUUCAAAUAGCCAAUUUUAAAUUUCAUUGAUUUUUUGUAUUUUUUUUAGUCUCAAUUUCAUUUGUUUCUGUUCUGGUCUUUAUUAUCUCUUUCCUGCUAAUAAUUUUGGGUUUGGUUUGUUCUUGCUUUUCUAGUUCCUUGAGGUACAUCGUUAGGCUGUUUAUUUGGAAUCUAUUUUUUGAUGUAUGCAUUUAUUAUUAUAAACUUCCUCUUAGUCUUGCUUUUGCUGUAUCCCAUAGAUUUUGGUAUGUUGUAUUUCCAUUUUUGUUUCAAUAAAUUUUUAAACCACUUUCUUAAUUUUGUCAUUGACCCAUUGAUUGUUCAUGAGUAUGUUGUUUAAUUUCCAUGUGUUUGUAUGGUUUCCAGUUUCCUCUUGUUUUUGGUUUCUAGUUUCAUUCCAUUACGAUCAGAAAAUAUAUUUAAUAUAAUUUCAACUUUUUUGAAUUUGUUGAGACUUGUUUUGUGGCCUAAGAUAUGAUCUAUUCUGGACAAUGCUCUGAAGAGAAGAAUGUAUAUUCUGCAGCAAUUGGGUGAAAUGUUCUGUAAAUGUCAGUUAGGCCUAUUUGGUCUAGUGUGUAGUUUAACUCCAAUGUUUCUUUCUUCAAUGAUUUGUCCGUUACUGAGAGUCGGAAGUUGAAGUCUCCCACAAUUAUUAUUUUGCAGUCUCUUUCUUUAAAUCUAUUAGUGUUUGCUUCAUACACUUGGGUGCUCCAGUAUUGGGUGCAUAGAUAUUUAUAACUGUAAUAUUGUCUUGCUGAGCUGACCCCUUUAUCGUUAUGUAAUACCUUGGCUCUUUUUACAGUCUUUAACUUGUAGUCUAUUUUAUCUAAGUAUAGCUAAUCUUGCAAUUUUUUGGUCUCUAUUUGCAUGGAAUAUCUUUUUCCAUCCCCUAUUUCAGUCUAUGUGUGUCUUUGUAGGUGAAGUAGGUUUUUUAUAGGCAGCACAUAGUUGGAUAUUGUUUAUUUAUUCAGCCUCUGUAUGUCUUUUACUUGGAGAAUUUAAUCCAUUUACAUUUAAUGUUAUUAUUGAUAGGGAAGGACUUACUACUGCCAUUUUGUUACUUGUUUUCUAGUUGUUUUGUAACUCCUCUCUUCCUUUCUUACUGUUGUCCUGUGUGGUUAUUUUCUAUUGUAGUAUGUUUUAAUUUGUUGUUUUUUAUUUUUAGUCAAUCUAUUGUAGGUUUUUGCUCUGUGGUUACCAUGAGGUUUAGGAAAAAACCACUGUAUUGUUACUAAAAGUUAUUAUUUUAAAAAGGUGACAACUUAUCUUUGAUCAUAAAACAUAUAGAAACAAAGGAAAAACUGAAAAAAAAUCUACAUUUUAACUUCAUCACUACUCCCACCCUGCCCCAUUUUAACAUUUGGAUUUUCUACAUAUAGAAGUUUAUCAUAUUAGCAUAAUGACAGAUUGAAUUUCAAUCUUCAUUUAUUUAUUUUUCUUGCCUUACUACACUGUCUAGAACCUUGGUAUGUUGAGUAGAUGUCUUAAUGUAGGCAUUCUUGUCUCAUUCGCAACAUCAAAAGAAAUGUUUUUAUUGUAAGCUGAUUUUUUUUUUAGUAGAUACUCUUAUCAGUUCAGAAAGGUUUCUUCUAGUCCUAAUUUGCUAAGUUUUUAAAAAUCAUGAAUGGACAUAAACAACAUUUGUUUCUCACAAUUCUAAAGGCUGAGAGGUUCAGGAUCAAGGUGCUGACAGAUUCUGUAUCUUGUGAGCACCAUUUUCUGAGUUUGAAAAUGGCCUCCUUCUCGCCAUCUCCUCAUAUGGUGAACAGAAAGGGAGGACUCUAGCCUUUUCUUCUUAUAAGGGCACUAAUCCUAUCAUGGAGUCCCUAACCCCAUGACUCAUCUAACCUUAAUUACCUCCCAGAGACUCCACCUCCAAAUAUCAUCACAUUGGGAAUUAGAGAUUCAACAUAUGAAUUUGGGAAAGGAAGGACACAAAUAUUAAUUCCACAGCAGACAUUGGAUUUUAUCAGGUGUAUGUGUCUUCAUCUACUCAGAUGAUCUAUGAUUUUUCUCUCAUCUUUUAAUAUGAAUUACAUGGGUUGAUUUUCUAAGUUAAAUUAACCUUGCAUUCUUAAAAUGAACCCCAUUUUGCCUUCAUUAUGCUUUAUAUACAUCGUUACUCUUAAAUUGCUAAUAUUUUGUCAGUUUCUAUUAUGCAUGAGAUUAGCCUAUAUUCUUCCUUUUUCAUAUUGUCUUCUUGUUGGUAUUUUAGCCUUAUCAAAUAAAUGGGAAAGCAUACUUAGAAACACACUUUGUGUACCUUCUCAGAUUCCCUUAACUGCCUCCCUCUUUCCUUCCCUUGGUGGGCACCCCACACAUGCCAGGUUUCCCCUUCACUUUUGAACUUUAAUAAAACACCACAUCAUAGUACAUGGAUCUCAAUUCCUGAACAGCUGCUAAGUCGGCAUGAUGCAACACAGAUGAAAUGGCAGUAAUAUCCUUGUUGGGUGAAUGUUACUCAAUGAGAACUGGGAGAUGGGAGCUUACCUGACAGGAAGAUUACCCCCUUUUCUCUCUUCCACUGACUACUCCAAGAUAUUGUUCCUCCUUGCAACCUUUCCAAAAACAUCCACAUUCCAAGAAUCUCACAUACUGAGUAACCUAACAUGUCCCUUUUGACUUACUAUGAAGUGGUAGUCAAUAUAGUAAUGCAUCAUAUCACAUUUCAUUGGAUUUCCCUUGCUUUAUUUCUACUUUUCUCUCAUUCAUACUGUGCUGAAUUUGCAUUUCCCAAAUAAAAUAUUAGCAUCUUUUUCGAGAUGGAGUCUCACUCUGUCAUUCAGGCUGGAGUGCAGUGGCAUGAUACCAGCUCAUUGCAACCUCUGCCUCCCGGCUUCAAGUGAUUCUCCUGCCUCAGCCUCCCAAGUAGCUGGGAUUACAGGCAGGUGCCCACCAUGCCCAGCUAAUUUUUGUAUAUUUAGUAGAGAUGGGGUUUCACCAUGUUGGCCAGGCUGGUCUCAAACUCCUGACCUCAAGUGAUCUGUCCACCUCGGCCUCCCAACGUGCUGGGAUUACAGGCAUGAGCGACUGCGCCUGGUCAAAUAUUAGCAUCUUAAUCCUUGCCUCAGGCUCCACUUUCUAGAAGACCUAAACUAAGACCAAAAUUGCCUCCUUUGUUCUAUGCACUGGAGUAUUUUAUGUAAGAUUCCAUAAUUUUGUUCCUUUAAAGUUUGAUAGAGCUUAUAAACCAUCUAGGCCUGGGUUUUUCUGUGUGGAAAUACUGGGAAGUACUGUUAUCUUUAAUGAUUUUAAGACUAUUCAGUUUUUCUACAUCUUCAUGAGACAAUUUUCCUAAGUUAUAGUAUUUAAAGAAUUCACCCUGUUAUCUAUACUUACAAAUUUAUUGGCAUAAAGUUUAUAUAGUAUACUUUUAUUACCUUUUUAAAUACUUGUAUUAAUCUUUAUAUGACCUGUAGGAAUGCUCAUAUUUUCAUUCUUAUCGUUUUGGUUCUUUCAGUCUUGCCAGGGUUUUAUAUAUUUUAUGAGUAUUUUUGAAGAACCAGUUGCUGACUUUGUUCAUCUCUAUUGUGUUUUCUAUUUCCAAGGUUGCUCUUACCUUUAGUAGUUCCUUUUUUUUUUUUUUUGGUUUCCAUUUUGUUAUUGUUUAACUUUGUGUAUUGAAUGACUCAUUUUUAGUCUCUCUUUUCUAAUAUGCACAUUUCUAAGCAGGUCUGCCUAUAUGCUCUCUAAAUACUGCUCUAGCUGCAUUCCACAUAUUUUAAUAGGAUUUGACAGUUUUAAUUUCCAUGACUUUUUCCCAUGACUAAUUAGAAAUGUUUAUUAAUUCUCAAAUACAUGGAGCUUUCCUAAAGAUGCCUUUUAUACUGAUUUCUAUCUGAAAUCCAUUGUGGUCAGAGAAUACUGUGUGUUUUGUAGCAAUCCUUUGAAAUACAUUGAGACUUGCUUAAUUUGCAAGUACAGGUUUUCAUAUUUUUCCAUAUGUGAUUGGAAAAAUAUUAAUUUGACAAUUUGGGGAUAUAGUAUACACACAAUACACACAAACAUAUAUGUAUUUUCAGUACUUCAAAAUUUCUACAUAUUUCCUGGUAUUUGUCUGCUUGCUUCAUUAAUUACUGAGAGAUGUACGAUUUUGAGUUGUACUUUCUUUUGUUGCUCUCUCAUUUUUCUUUCAUAUCCUUAUGGCAAUUGUAUUAAGUGCAUACCAAUUUAAAAUUAUUUCACCUUCAUGAAUGUCACCUUUUAUUACACAAAGUGAUAUUUUCUAUUAAUUCGCCUAAAUAAACUUUGCACUUGAGUCCUUUUUCAGGGUCUGCUUCUUGGGGGAACCUAAACUACGACAGUUCGUCUCCCCUGGUAUGUUGUAGCACCACGAUAGCUAAGACUCCCACCUGUGGUAAAUUGGUAUUGGGCCCAUCAGGAAGGGGAUACACUCACUUACGUAAUCUCUAGAAUGAUAGAGAGAUGGG